CCCUACGGGGCGCAGCAGUGGGGAAUAUUGCACAAUGGGGGAAACCCUGAUGCAGCGACGCCGCGUGAGUGAAGAAGCGCCUCGGCGCGUAAAGCUCUGUCAGCAGGAACGACGAUGACGGUACCUGAAGAAGAAGCCCCGGCUAACUACGUGCCAGCAGCCGCGGUAAUACGUAGGGGGCAAGCGUUAUCCGGAUUUACUGGGUGUAAAGGGAGCGUAGACGGCGGGGCAAGUCUGGAGUGAAAGGCCGAGGCCCAACCCCGGGACCGAGCUGGAAACUGCCCCGCUGGUGUGCGGGAGAGGGA
rnacentral:rRNA from 1 species